rnacentral:rRNA from 1 species
UACGUAGGCAGCAAGCGUUGUUCGGAAUUACUGGGCGUAAAGAGUGUGUAGGCGGUGCUCUAAGUUUGGUGUGAAAUCUCCCGGCUUAACUGGGAGGGUGCGCCGAAAACUGGAAUGCUUGAACAUGGGAGAGGAAGGCGGAAUUCCUGGUGUAGCGGUGAAAUGCGUAGAUAUCAGGAGGAACACCUGCGGUGUAGACGGCUUUCUGGACCAUUGUUGACGCUGAGACACGAAAGCGUGGGUAGCAAACAGG